rnacentral:lncRNA from 1 species
AUGGAAUCCUGGAUACCUGAAGUAUUUUGCCUGUAGUCAAAAAGGUAUGAAUUAGGUAUCUGGAAAUUAAACCAGGCCCUUUGUUGUCACAUCUAUUAUUCUUUCUACUGCAUCAUGACUCACAAGGAAUGAAUAUUCAAACUAGACUGGUUGGAAUAAAGGUGAAAAGGAAGACCUGGACAGAAGAAUAUUGCAAAGAUAAGAAAUGGACAAGAGAAGGUCAGACUUUUGGACUGUCUUCUGAGAAACAUGAGGAACGGGCUGAGCAAAGCCAGAUCCUGGAAAAGGAGAGAACAUUGGAACCGCUUGGUGGGGAGAGGGUGCAGUAAGAGAAGCAGGAUUGGUAGAAAGACUUUAAAGACUGGAAUUCAAGUCAUUGCUCUCAUUUGCUAGCUAUGCAGCAACGGAUGAUUAGACCACUUCUUUGAGACUCAGUCGUCUUAUCUAUAUAGUGGAUUUAACAAUAUUUAUAACACCUACCUCACUGGAUUAGUGUGAGAAAACCUCCUUUUAAACCCAAAGUGCUAUUGAAAUAUCAACUGUGUACAUAUAUUGGUUUUCAGAUGUAAAGGGUGAAUUCCAAAUAAUAAAAUACCCAAGUCAGCUGCCA